AGUGAACGCUGGCGGUAGGCCUAACACAUGCAAGUCGAACGGCAGCACAGUAAGAGCUUGCUCUUACGGGUGGCGAGUGGCGGACGGGUGAGGAAUACAUCGGAAUCUACUUUUUCGUGGGGGAUGACGUAGGGAAACUUACGCUAAUACCGCAUACGACCUACGGGUGAAAGCAGGGGAUCUUCGGACCUUGCGCGAUUGAAUGAGCCGAUGUCGGAUUAGCUAGUUGGCGGGGUAAAGGCCCACCAAGGCGACGAUCCGUAGCUGGUCUGAGAGGAUGAUCAGCCACACUGGAACUGAGACACGGUCCAGACUCCUACGGGAGGCAGCAGUGGGGAAUAUUGGACAAUGGGCGCAAGCCUGAUCCAGCCAUACCGCGUGGGUGAAGAAGGCCGUCGGGUUGUAAAGCACUUUUGUUGGGAAAGAAAAGCAGCAGGUUAAUACCCCGCUGUUCUGACGGUACCCAAAGAAUAAGCACCGGCUAACUUCG
rnacentral:rRNA from 1 species